CAGCCCUAGCUCAGGCGAGAACACUCGCUGAGUUUAAGCAUAUAAUUAAGCGGAGGAAAAGAAACUUAUAAGGAUUCCCCUAGUAACGACGAGCGAACCGGGAAGAGCCCUGCAUGAAAAUUGGGUGGCAGUGUCACCUGAAUUGUAGUCUGUAGAAGCAUCCUUAGUGGUAGAUAGGGCCCAAGUCCCCUGGAAGGGGGCGCCUGAGAGGGUGACAACCCUGUCGGGCCGGACCCUGCCGCACCACGAGGCGUUGUCGGUGAGUUGGGUUGUUUGGGAAUGCAACCCUAAUCGGGUGGUAAAUUCCGUCCAAGGCUAAAUACGGGUGAGAGAAGGAUAGCGAACAAGUACCGCAAGGGAAAGAUGAAAAGGAAUUUGAAAAGAGAGUUAAAGAGUGCUUGAAAUUGCAGGGAGGGAAGCGGAUGGAGGCCGACGAUGCGUCUCGGUCGGAUGCGGAACGACUCAAGCUAGUCCGCCGCUCGACUCGAGGUGCGAACUAGCAUAGGCGGUUGCAUCGACACAAGCGUGGGUGGAGUACUUCCUGUUGGUUUGCCAUUGUGGCGGUCAAGGAACGAAGCAUGCGCCCUUGGGGCAGGCCACUGUGCACCUACAUGCUCAUGGUGUUGGUUGGCGGGCUUUCCAUUCGACCUGUCUUGAAACACGGGCCAAGGAGUCUAACAUGUGUGUGAGUUGGUGGGUUUGUAAACCUACGAGGAGUAAGGAAGUUGAUGGGCGAGAACCCCUCUCCAUGGGGUGCAUUGCCAACCGACCUUGAACUUGUGCGAAGGGUUUGAGUGUGAGCACACCUGUUGGGACCCGAAAGAUGGUGAACUAUGCCAGAGUAGGGUAAAGCCAGAGGAAACUCUGGUGGAGGCCCGUAGCGAUACUGACGUGAAAAUCGUUCAUCUGACUUGGGUAUAGGGGUGAAAGACUAAUCAAACCAUCUAGUAGCUGGUUUCCUCUAAAGUUUCCCUCAGGAUAGCUGGAGCUCACGUGCGAGUUUUAUCGGGUAAAGCAAAUGAUUAGAGGCAUCAGGGACGUAACGCCCUUGACCUAUUAUCAAACUUUAAAUAGGUAAGACAGUGCGGCUACUCCAUUGAGCCAUGCCACGGAAUCGAGAGCUCCAAGUGGGCCAUUUUUGGUAAGCAGAACUGGCGAUGCAGGAUGAACCGAAAGUCGAGUUACGGUGCCAAACUGCGCGCUAACCCAGAUCCCACAAAGGGUGUUGGUUGAUUAAGACAGCAUGACGGUGGUCAUGGAAGUCAAAAUCCGCUAAGGAGUGUGUAACAACUGACCCGUGGGCUGUUGGUAGUCUGCCCGAGCUGCUAUCGCGGUGAGGGAGGGUAGUCGCAUGCCGAUUGGGAUACGGACAUAGAAUGUCCUCUCGCAGGGGCUUUUCCCUAGGCAGCGAAGAGUCGACUCAGAGUUGGUACGGACAAGAAGAAUCCAACUAUUUAAUUAAAACAAAGCAUUGCGAUGGUCCUUGCGGAUGCUGACGUAAUGUGAUUUCUGCCCAGUGCUAUGAAUGCCAAAGUGAAGAAAUUCAACCAAGCGCGGGUAAACGACGGGAGUAACUAUGACUCUCUUAAGGUAUCCAAAUGCAUUGUCAUCUAAUUAGUGACGCGCAUGAAUGGAUUAAUGAGAUUCCCACUGUCCCUAUCUACUAUCUAGCGAAACCACAGCCAAGGGAACGGGCUUGGCAGAAUCAGUGGGGAAAGAAGACCCUGUUGAGCUUGACUCUAGUUCGACUUUGUGAAAUGACUUGAGAGGUGUAGAAUAAGUGUAAGCCAUUUUCGGUGCAAGUGAAAUACCACUACUUUUAACGUUAUUUUACUUAUUCCGUGGGGCGGAGACGGGGCAUUGCCCCUGUUUUUGGCCUCAAGACACGUUUCGACGGGUCGAUCCAGGUGGAAGACAUUGUCAGGUGGGGAGUUUGGCUAGGGCGGCACAUCUGUUAAAAGAUAACACAGGUGUCCUAAGAUGAGCUCAAUGAGAACAUAAAUCUCGUGUGGAACAAAAGGGUAAAAUCUCAUUUGAUUUUGAUUUUCAGUACGAAUACAAACCGUGAAAGCGUGGCCUAUCGAUCCUUUAGACUUUCAGAAUUUGA
rfam:Picea glauca, whole genome shotgun sequence.